GGUUAAGUGACUAAGCGUACACGGUGGAUGCCUUGGCAGUCAGAGGCGAUGAAGGACGUAGUAACUUGCGAUAAGCGUAGAUAAGGCAGUAACAGCCACUUGAGUCUACGAUUUCCGAAUGGGGAAACCCACGUGCAUAAGCACGUAUCAUGCAGUGAAUACAUAGCUGUAUGAGGCGAACUCGGGGAACUGAAACAUCUAAGUACCCGAAGGAAAAGAAAUCAAUUGAGAUUCCGGCAGUAGCGGCGAGCGACCCCGGAUUAGCCCUUAAGCGGUUUAAGUGUUAGUGGAAUACUCUGGAAAGGGUAGCGAUACAGGGUGAUAGCCCCGUACACGACAAUGCUUUUAUCGUGAAAACGAGUAGGACGGGACACGUGUUAUCUUGUCUGAACAUGGGGGGACCAUCCUCCAAGGCUAAAUACUCCUGACUGACCGAUAGUGAACCAGUACCGUGAGGGAAAGGCGAAAAGAACCCCUGUGAGGGGAGUGAAAUAGAACCUGAAACCGUGUACGUACAAGCAGUGGGAGCCUCUUCGUGGGGUGACUGCGUACCUUUUGUAUAAUGGGUCAGCGACUUACUUUUAGUAGCAAGGUUAACCGAAUAGGGGAGCCGUAGGGAAACCGAGUCUUAACUGGGCGAAUAAGUUGCUAGGAGUAGACCCGAAACCGAGUGAUCUAGCCAUGGGCAGGUUGAAGAUUGAGUAACAUCAAUUGGAGGACCGAACCGACUAAUGUUGAAAAAUUAGCGGAUGACUUGUGGCUAGGGGUGAAAGGCCAAUCAAACUCGGAGAUAGCUGGUUCUCCCCGAAAUCUAUUUAGGUAGAGCCUCGGACGAAUACUACUGGGGGUAGAGCACUGUUAAGGCUAGGGGGUCAUCCCGACUUACCAACCCUUUGCAAACUCCGAAUACCAGUAAGUACUAUCCGGGAGACACACGGCGGGUGCUAACGUCCGUCGUGAAGAGGGAAACAACCCAGACCGCCAGCUAAGGUCCCAAAGUUAUCGCUAAGUGGGAAACGAUGUGGGAAGGCUCAGACAGCCAGGAUGUUGGCUUAGAAGCAGCCAUCAUUUAAAGAAAGCGUAAUAGCUCACUGGUCGAGUCGGCCUGCGCGGAAGAUGUAACGGGGCUAAGCGAUACACCGAAGCUGCGGCAUCAACUCUUCGGAGUUGUUGGGUAGGGGAGCGUUCUGUAAGCCGUUGAAGGUGAACUGUAAGGUUUGCUGGAGGUAUCAGAAGUGCGAAUGCUGACAUGAGUAACGAUAAAGGGGGUGAAAAACCUCCUCGCCGGAAGACCAAGGGUUCCUGUCCAACGUUAAUCGGGGCAGGGUAAGUCGACCCCUAAGGCGAGGCCGAAAGGCGUAGUCGAUGGGAAACGGGUUAAUAUUCCCGUACUUCUUACAAUUGCGAUGGGGGGACGGAGAAGGCUAGGUGGGCCUCGCGACGGUUGUCGAGGUUCAAGUGCGUAGGCAGGGGGAUUAGGCAAAUCCGGUUCCCUAUAUGCUGAGACACGAUGUCGAGCUACUACGGUAGUGAAGUCAUUGAUGCCAUGCUUCCGGGAAAAGCCUCUAAGCUUCAGAUUGUAAGGAAUCGUACCCCAAACCGACACAGGUGGUCGGGUAGAGAAUACCAAGGCGCUUGAGAGAACUCGGGUGAAGGAACUAGGCAAAAUGGUACCGUAACUUCGGGAGAAGGUACGCUGCCUCCGGUGAAGUCCCUUGCGGAUGGAGCUAGAGGCAGUCGCAGAUACCAGGUGGCUGCAACUGUUUAUUAAAAACAUAGCACUGUGCAAAAUCGAAAGAUGACGUAUACGGUGUGACGCCUGCCCGGUGCCGGAAGGUUAAUUGAUGGGGUUAUCUUCGGAGAAGCUCUUGAUCGAAGCCCCGGUAAACGGCGGCCGUAACUAUAACGGUCCUAAGGUAGCGAAAUUCCUUGUCGGGUAAGUUCCGACCUGCACGAAUGGCGUAAUGAUGGCCACGCUGUCUCCACCCGAGACUCAGUGAAAUUGAAAUCGCAGUGAAGAUGCUGUGUACCCGCGGCUAGACGGAAAGACCCCGUGAACCUUUACUACAGCUUGGCACUGAACAUUGACCCUACAUGUGUAGGAUAGGUGGGAGCCUUUGAAGCAUCGUCGCUAGAUGGUGUGGAGGCAAUCUUGAAAUACCACCCUUGUAUGCUUGAUGUUCUAACGUUGG
rnacentral:rRNA from 1 species